rnacentral:lncRNA from 1 species
UAAAUUAGAAUUUCUCCAAAUUACCUCCCCUUAGACUGGAUCUUUUUUUUUUUUUUAGACUGGAUAUUUUUGCUUACUUAAAUAAAAAUCAACUUGUAUGUUCAUACAUUUCUGUCCUCAUUUUUGAAGACUUCCAGGAACUCCAAACAAAAUUUUGAUAUUUUAGUAAGUUUCAACAUAAUUUCUGUAUUCUUAACAACAACCGUUAGUGAAGUAUAUGGCUGCAAAUAAGCACAGUUUUAGUUUCUUGUGUACAACUUGGAAAUUAGUAUGGCGUUCAUUAUCACUGGACU